UGGGGAAUAUUGGACAAUGGGCGAAAGCCUGAUGCAGCAACGCCGCGUGCGGGAAGAAGGCCCUCGGGUUGUAAACCGCUUUCAGAAGGAACGAAACUGACGGUACUUUCAGAAGAAGGUGCGGCCAACUACGUGCCAGCAGCCGCGGUGACACGUAGGCACCAAGCGUUGUCCGGAUUUAUUGGGCGUAAAGAGCUCGUAGGCGGUUCAGUAAGUCGGGUGUGAAAACUUUGGGCUUAACCCAAAGCGUGCAUCCGAUACUGCUGUGACUUGAGUACGGUAGGGGAGCGGGGAAUUCCUAGUGUAGCGGUGAAAUGCGCAGAUAUUAGGAGGAACACCGGUGGCGAAGGCGCCGCUCUGGGCCGAAACUGACGCUGAGGAGCGAAAGCAUGGGUAGCAAACAGGAUUAGAUACCCAGGUAGUCCCUGAGCGGGCUGGCAAGGCGCAU
rnacentral:rRNA from 1 species